rnacentral:rRNA from 1 species
UACGUAGGGACCAAGCGUUGUUCGGAUUUACUGGGCGUAAAGGGCGCGUAGGCGGCGUGGUAAGUCACUUGUGAAAUCUCUGAGCUUAACUCAGAACGGUCAAGUGAUACUGCUGUGCUAGAGUGCGGAAGGGGCAAUCGGAAUUCUUGGUGUAGCGGUGAAAUGCGUAGAUAUCAAGAGGAACACCUGAGGUGAAGACGGGUUGCUGGGCCGACACUGACGCUGAUGCGCGAAAGCCAGGGAGCAAACGGG